rnacentral:lncRNA from 1 species
AAAAAAUAUAACAGAAAUAGUUUUUUUAUUAGCUAGCAUAGUAAGUAACAAAACAAGUUUCAAUAUUAAAGUUAAUCUCUGUUGGUCAACCAAAAUUUUCGGAAUCUCCUGUGACCUGUACUAUCGAAAAGCUUCAACACACGUUCUUUGUCAACUGUAUCACUCCUAUGCACAUGGAGCAUGGCAAGUCCACGACGACAUGUCAACCUACCUGGACACAUUAUUCUACCAAUUUUCAAGUCAUUGGUUUGAUCUACCGGUGUUCGAACCCACGACCUACCAGAAUCAAUGGAACACGCUAGAAUACAACCAGACAAUGCUGAUCAUAAUCAGAUUAAAAAAACGAAAAAAAUAUUUUCAAACAAUACCAAAAAUAUAUUUCAUACUUUUAUUAAAGAUAGAUAAAAAUCAUGAAUUGUUUUCUACAUUAAAGACUUCCAUGCUAGAAAGACGCUUCAUGAUUUUGUUUAAAUUAAUUAUGAAUAAUUAUUAUAUUUUUGGUCAAUGAAUUAUUUUAUCGAUUAGCAUUUGUUGUUCAGUGAGUUGAUAGUGUAGACAAUUGAUAACUAUAGCGUUAUCGAUUUAAAAAAUAAACCAAGGAAUAAGCCAGCAUACUUAUAGGGGUGUUUAUAAUCACGAGUUACCUUUUUCAUCUUUUUUUCUCUUUAAUAAAGAACCUGUCUUCAACCAGUUUUGUAACAACGACAUUAAGAUUUGUUUUUCUUUUUUUUUUUUAAUUUUGAUUUGUAUUCGGAACACUUUUUUAACCGUCACCGCUAUGGUAAAAGCUGCACUUGCUGCAGAUUGGACACACUGUAUGUAGUGUGACGGUAGAUAAUUUGAA